GCUAUUUUACUCAUUCAUUAAUAUGUACAGUUAACAUUAACGACUGUGAAACCUUAAGGCCUGCAGUAUCCAUUGUUGGCUCACCCACUUACAUAACACGUGACGACCUAACAGAACAAUGGAGCGAUACUACAAGAGUCGCGGGAAAAAUGCACACGCCUUAAAGAGGUUGCAUUUCGUCAAGUUAAUUUUAGAACGGAUUACAGAUAAAGUUGUUUGUUACGUAACAAGGAUUAUUUAUGUUAUUUAAA